UAUGUGUCUCUGAUAUGGUCAUACAUUGGGCAGGGGGUUAGGAAGUGCAGCUCAGUUUCCACCUCAUGUUGUGGGCAGUGAGCACAUGGCCUGUCUUCUCUUGAGAGUUUCCUCGUCGUUUAGUUGGGUCUAACGAUGUUGCUUUGUCUCUCUCUCAUUUACUGAGCUAAAAAAUGUAAAAUUUGUAUGAAUGUAUGUUUGGAACCAUGUCAAUGGUACUGUCAAUGGUACUGUAUGCUGAUGCUGUACUGUAUGCUGAUGCUGUAUGCUGAUGGUGUCUGCUGAUGGUGUAUGCUGAUGGUGCCUGCUGAUGGUGUCUGCUGAUGGUGCCUGCUGAUGGUGCCUGCUGAUGGUGUCUGCUGAUGGUGUCUGCUGAUGAUGUAUGCGGAUGGUGUAUAAUGAUGGUGUCUGCUGAUGGUGUCUGCUGAUGGUGUCUGCUGAUGGUGUCUGCUGAUGGUGAAUAAUGAUGGUGAUUAAAGGCCUGUCCUACCUGAGAGAGAAACACAAGAUCAUGCAUAGAGGUGGACCAUACCAUCUUGGUGUUUGACACUGUGGACCAUACCAUCUUGGUGAUUAACACUGUGGACCAUACCAUCUUGGUGAUUAACACUGUGGACCAUACCGUCUUGGUGUUUAACAAGGUGGACCAUACCGUCUUGGUGUUUAACACUGUGGACCAUACCAUCUUGGUGUUUAACACUGUGGAACAUACCAUCUUGGUGUUUAACACUGUGGACCAUACCAUCUUGGUGUUUGACACUGUGGACCAUACCAUCUUGGUGUUUGACACUGUGGACCAUACCAUCUUGGUGUUUGACACUGUGGACCAUACCAUCUUGGUGUUUGACACUGUGGACCAUACCAUCUUGGUGUUUGACACUGUGGACCAUACCAUCUUGGUGUUUGACACUGUGGACCAUACCAUCUUGGUGUUUGACACUGUGGACCUUACCAUCUUGGUGUUUAACACUGUGGACCAUACCAUCUUGGUGUUUAACACUGUGGACCAUACCAUCUUGGUGUUUAACACUGUGGACCAUACCAUCUUGGUGUUUAACACUGUGGACCAUACCAUCUUGGUGUUUAACACUGUGGACCAUACCAUCUUGGUGUUUAACACUGUGGACCAUACCAUCUUGGUGUUUAACACUGUGGACCAUACCAUCUUGGUGUUUAACACUGUGGAACAUACCAUCUUGGUGUUUAACACUGUGGACCAUACUUUCCCUGUGCAGAGAUUGAGCUGUAUUGGGAUUACUGGUCAUGCUCUGGACUGGUUUGUGAACCAUCCAAUCACAUUUCUUCAACAGGUUAAUUUGGCCACCAGAGGCAGAUCGUUCUACUGUCUGCUUUAAUUAGUUACCUGUGGUCUAGGUGGAAUGUGCAUGAUGCUUCCUCAACUAGCCUUCUGACAUCAUAGAAAAUUCAUCGUAAAAGUCAAAAGGUGAUUUAUUCUCAUGUUGUUGUCAAAUAGCAGUUAUUUACCCACUACUGCUAGCCUGGAGUGGUGGUGAGCUCCGCUAAAGUUGACUAUUCCACUGUGUUGGUGAUAUGGUGGCUGUGAGUUCGAAUCCCAUUCAGGGAAAGAUCAUUUUUUGAAGGAGAAAACCCUCCCCUGCUGGUCCUAGAGUGAAAUAAUCUGGUUCUAAGAUUCUGGUUCAAAUUCCAGUCGUACUCAGAAAAAGAAAUGAGCUUAAACUAUAUUUUAUUAAAACCGCACUGCAUA